rnacentral:rRNA from 1 species
AGAUUGAACGCUGGCGGCAUGCCUAACACAUGCAAGUCGAACGGGAGUAGCAAUACUCUAGUGGCGGACGGGUGAGGAAUACGUAGGAAUUUGCCCUUAAGUGGGGGAUAACCCGGGAAACCCGGAUUAAUACCGCAUGACCUCGAAAGAGCAAAGUGGGGGAUCGCAAGACCUCACGCUUUUGGAGAAGCCUACGUCGGAUUAGCUAGUUGGUGAGGUAAUGGCUCACCAAGGCGACGAUCCGUAACUGGUCUGAGAGGAUGAUCAGUCACACCGGAACUGAGACACGGUCCGGACUCCUACGGGGAGGCAGCAGUGGGGAAUAGUUGGACAAUGGGGCGCAAGCCUGAUCCAGCAAU